rnacentral:rRNA from 1 species
GACAGAGGGUGCAAACGUUGUUCGGAAUUACUGGGCGUAAAGCGCGUGUAGGCGGUCUGUAAAGUCAGGUGUGAAAGCCCCGGGCUCAACCCGGGAAGUGCACUUGAAACUCACAGGCUAGAGUAUCGGAGAGGUUGGUGGAAUUCUCGGUGUAGAGGUGAAAUUCGUAGAUAUCGAGAGGAACACCGGUGGCGAAGGCGGCCAACUGGACGAAUACUGACGCUGAGACUCGAAAGCGUGGGGAGCAAACAGG